AGGUAGGUAGAUAGGUAGGUAGGUAGAUAGAUAGGUAGGCAGGUGGGUAGGUAGAUAGAUAGAUACACAGACAGAAAGAUAUUAGGUUGAUGAUGCUACCAUACUUAUAAAGUUUAUCUCAAACAACUGUAUCACUUUGUCCAACAAUAAAUCAAUUCUCGUUAUUCAAGAGAUUUGCCUUUCUGCUUAGGAUUUUAUCUAAAAUCACACAAAGACUGCCUUAUGAAAUAUUUGUCUUUGAAACAUUUAUUUUCGCUGGAUUUUUUUCUUUUUCUUUUUAAAUUUCUAUUUUGGAAGUGCCUUACAGUUUCUGUGAUUAUUCAAGCUAGUUCCUGUUUUAGUUCUUUUUGUUUUUUAAUUUUUUUUGUCAUUAAGUCAUAAAUUAUUUAUUAAUUUUAGUGUCAUAUUCCAAGUAGAAGCUUAGUUGUUGGGUUUUUUAUUAUUAAAGUUUUCAAUGCCAGUCAAAAUGUAAUGAUGUAAUGGCUACGACAGACACAGCCAAGUGCUAGGAGGUUCUUCAAUGAUUACAUAAAAGAAACAGCUACUGACAAACACCCUUCAGUCAGUUAUGCUUCAUUAACCUUUAACCAUUGGACUGUGAUGGGAGUUUUCUAUUUCUUUUGAUAGACAUCCACAUUAGAACAAUACUCUCAAAAUCUAACCAAUUCUCUUGAUUUAACUCUGAGUAUCUGUUGUUCCUAUUUCCCGAUUUCUUAAACAGAAUACACAAUAAUGUAGGGGCUGCAAACCUGGGUACCACUGCCCAUUAUGCAGACAAGA